rnacentral:rRNA from 1 species
CAAGACCUUGCGCUAAAGGAGCGGCCGAUGUCUGAUUAGCUAGUUGGUGGGGUAAAGGCUUACCAAGGCAACGAUCAGUAGUUGGUCUGAGAGGACGGCCAACCACACUGGGACUGAGACACGGCCCAGACUCCUACGGGAGGCAGCAGUGGGGAAUUUUGGACAAUGGGCGAAAGCCUGAUCCAGCCAUGCCGCGUGAGUGAAGAAGGCCUUCGGGUUGUAAAGCUCUUUUAGUCGGAAAGAAAGAGUUGCAAUGAAUAAUUGUGAUUUAUGACGGUACCGACAGAAAAAGCACCGGCUAACUACGUGCCAGCAGCCGCGGUAAUACGUAGGGUGCGAGCGUUAAUCGGAAUUACUGGGCGUAAAGGGUGCGCAGGCGGUCUUGCAAGUCAGAUGUGAAAGCCCCGGGCUUAACCUGGGAAUU